GCUGCGGUGGCCGAGUGGUCUAAGGCGGUAGAUUUAAGUCAAUGAACUCUACUGGAGAGAUCCGCGCGAGUUCGAACCUCGUCCGCAGCA
rfam:Rachicladosporium antarcticum strain CCFEE 5527 scaffold_16, whole genome shotgun sequence.